rnacentral:rRNA from 1 species
UACGUAGGGUGCGAGCGUUGUCCGGAAUUAUUGGGCGUAAAGAGCUCGUAGGCGGUCCAUUAAGUCGGAAGUGAAAUCUCAGGGCUCAACCCUGAAAUUGCUUUCGAUACUGGUGGACUUGAGGCAGGUAGGGGAAGGUGGAAUUCCUGGUGUAGCGGUGAAAUUCGUAGAUAUUCGCAAGAACACCAGUGGCGAAGGCGGCUCACUGGCCCGGUACUGACGCUGAGGUGCGAAAGCGUGGGGAGCAAACAGG